rnacentral:rRNA from 1 species
UACGGGGGGAGCAAGCGUUGUUCGGAUUUACUGGGCGUAAAGGGCGCGUAGGCGGUCAGCACAAGUCAGUUGUGAAAUCUCCGGGCUUAACUCGGAAAGGUCAACUGAUACUGUGCGACUAGAGUGCAGAAGGGGCAACUGGAAUUCUCGGUGUAGCGGUGAAAUGCGUAGAUAUCGAGAGGAACACCUGCGGCGAAGGCGGCCUUCUGGACCGUUCUUGACGCUGAGACGCGAAAGCGUGGGGAGCAAACGGG